CGGUCUCCUCCUAAAGAGUAACGGAGGAGCACGAAGGUUGGCUAAUCCUGGUCGGACAUCAGGAGGUUAGUGCAAUGGCAUAAGCCAGCUUGACUGCGAGCGUGACGGCGCGAGCAGGUGCGAAAGCAGGUCAUAGUGAUCCGGUGGUUCUGAAUGGAAGGGCCAUCGCUCAACGGAUAAAAGGUACUCCGGGGAUAACAGGCUGAUACCGCCCAAGAGUUCAUAUCGACGGCGGUGUUUGGCACCUCGAUGUCGGCUCAUCACAUCCUGGGGCUGAAGUAGGUCCCAAGGGUAUGGCUGUUCGCCAUUUAAAGUGGUACGCGAGCUGGGUUUAGAACGUCGUGAGACAGUUCGGUCCCUAUCUGCCGUGGGCGCUGGAGAACUGAGGGGGGCUGCUCCUAGUACGAGAGGACCGGAGUGGACGCAUCACUGGUGUUCGGGUUGUCAUGCCAAUGGCACUGCCCGGUAGCUAAAUGCGGAAGAGAUAAGUGCUGAAAGCAUCUAAGCACGAAACUUGCCCCGAGAUGAGUUCUCCCUGAGACUUAGAGUCUCCUGAAGGAACGUUGAAGACGACGACGUUGAUAGGCCGGGUGUGUAAGCGCAGCGAUGCGUUGAGCUAACCGGUACUAAUGAACCGUGAGGCUUAACCUUACAACGCCGAAG
rnacentral:rRNA from 1 species